UUGUCCGGAAUUACUGGGUGUAAAGGGAGUGUAGGCGGGAAGGCAAGUCAGAAGUGAAAAUUAUGGGCUUAACCCAUAACCUGCUUUUGAAACUGUUUUUCUUGAGUGAAGCAGAGGCAAGCGGAAUUCCUAGUGUAGCGGUGAAAUGCGUAGAUAUUAGGAGGAACACCAGUGGCGAAGGCGGCUUGCUGGGCCUUUACUGACGCUGAGGCUCGAAAGCGUGGGGAGCAAACAGGAUUAGAUACCCUGGUAGUCCACGCCGUAAACGAUGAUCACUAGGUGUGGGGGGAUUGACCCCUUCCGUGCCGGAGUUAACACAAUAAGUGAUCCACCUGGGGAGUACGACCGCAAGGUUGAAACUCAAAGGAAUUGACGGGGGCCCGCACAAGCAGUGGAGUAUGUGGUUUAAUUC
rnacentral:rRNA from 1 species